rnacentral:rRNA from 1 species
UACGUAGGGUGCAAGCGUUGUCCGGAUUUAUUGGGCGUAAAGAGCUCGUAGGCGGCUUGUCGCGUCGACUGUGAAAACCCGCAGCUUAACUGCGGGACUGCAGUCGAUACGGGCAGGCUAGAGUUCGGUAGGGGAGACUGGAAUUCCUGGUGUAGCGGUGAAAUGCGCAGAUAUCAGGAGGAACACCGGUGGCGAAGGCGGGUCUCUGGGCCGAUACUGACGCUGAGGAGCGAAAGCGUGGGGAGCGAACAGG